UCCGAGAUGGUGUAAUGGUAACAUUACCGCCUCUCAUUAUACCCGUCCGAGUCCGCGGUAGCCCGGGGUUCGAUUCCCCGUUUCGGAA